GACGAAGGGGGCUAGCGUUGUUCGGAAUUGCUGGGCGUAAAGCGCGUGUAGGCGGCUUCCCAAGUCGGGUGUGAAAGCCUUGAGCUCAACUCAAGAAAUGCACUCGGUACUGGGUGACUAGAGGACCGGAGAGGAUAGUGGAAUUCCCAGCGUAGUGGUGAAAUACGUAGAGAUUGGGAAGAACACCAGUGGCGAAGGCGGCUAUCUGGACGGUUUCUGACGCUAAGACGCGAAAGCGUGGGGAGCAAACAGG
rnacentral:rRNA from 1 species